AGUAAUGAAGAGUUCCUCUCACACAAGUGUCAACAAAUGCCAAGUGGGAAACUUGGACUUCCACCUCCACUUGGCAGUAAUAAUGCAGUGUCCCCCAGUUUCCCUGCCAGAGCAGUGUUAGUAAAAAUAAUAAUAAAUCAGCUAAAAUAAAAGGUUUUAAUAAGAUCCAGAGUGUCAUAACACAAUAUGAAAAUGUCCAGGUUUCAACAGAAAAUCACUCAUUAUAUCAAUAACCAGGAAAAGCUGAGACUUAAUGAGAAAAGAUAGCCAAUAGAUGCCUACAUUGAGAUACAGAGAUGUUAGAAUCAUCUGACAAAGAUUAAAGCAGCCAUGAUAAAAAUGCUUCACUGACCAAUUAAAAACACACUUGAAACAAAUUAAAAAAUAGACAACCUCA